rnacentral:lncRNA from 1 species
UUAUUAUUGUUUAUUACUGACGUCAGUGCAGGCCCAUGGUGAGAAUCAGAUUGCAGCCAGAAAUGAGAUCUGCAUGUCAGCUGUUCUACCAGAAUCAGCGCCUCUUCUGAACGCAUGGAAGUUUUGAAAACAGCACACCACAACAAACCCAGAUUUGCUGUCCACAGCUACACCAUCUAUUAAACACUUGUCCUGAGGUGUGGGCUAAUUCCCCAAUAGACGACACCAAUGAGAUUCCAUGACACAGAAUCAGAGGACAGUACCUGCCACACAGCAGGACCUAGCUGCAGCUCUGUCCCAGAAGGGAAAGAGGCCUCCAGAUGCUGAGGGAUGGGACUGAUGAGAGCCUCAGGGGUCUUGAUACAGUGAGGAGUUGGGACUGUUGGUGGGGUUUUACUUACAGGUUGCCAGCAAGGCAAAGCUAUCAGAGGAGUCCUGACUCUUCAUUGUCUACAGGGUUUUUAUCCAUUGUUCUCAGUGGUGUUCACCACUUCCCCUGGACAAAAAGGAGACAUAAUCUUGGGCUUCCAAGUCAGGGCAUGGAAGACAGAAAACCUAAACCACAGUGCCUGGUACAAGCUUCUGAAGACAUGCACAAGUUUUAUGACUGAAGGCUCUGCUGUUUAAUGUCACCAGAACGAGCUGAUGGAGUCGCAGCCUUAUUAGCGUCUGCCUCACCCGGUCCUUCAGAAACUGACAUAACAAGCAAACAUAAGCCAAUAAGAUGAGCACUGACCUGGGUUUAUCCAGUGGCACAGAUAUGGGCCACUCAGUGAAAAAUGGCAGCUUAUUCUUCUGAUGAUAACUGGAAAGUUCCAUCACUCCCUUCAGGAGUUGGGUCUGCCAGAGGGUCUGAAGCUUGUCCAGGACAGCACCUGGAAACAGGAGGUUCUUCGUGCUGGAUGGUGACGUAACCAAUCCUCACAUGGCCUGAUCUCCAGACACUUGUGCCAGUGUCACUGUGACCCAGAAGAAGUCACCAGUGAACAGAGCCACACCUAAUAGAUGCCCUGCAGGUGUUCCAUGGACCUGCCUUGCUAGCAAUCCCCAGGUUCAUUGCAUUCCCAGGUGGCCUACACUGUAUUUGGUGGAGAAAUGACCAUAAAAAGCCUGCUCUGAUUUGGUCAUUCAGAGAUGGCCACUGGGGAGCCACAAUGGCCUUAUGGAGCCUGGACUGUGAGCCAAGACUGGGCAUGAAUCACACUGCAUGUCUGGCAGAGAGAGAUGGUAUCCAUGGUCAUGGAGCAAAACCAAGACUACAGUCUCUGCUCCAUGCAGCAGUCUAUAAAGCCCUGCUUGAGAUUUGGUCCUUACCCUAGCAUACCUGGUGCCACAGGACUGCCAGACAGAUGCUUUCUGAUGCUUCUGGCCAGUGCUCUUUAGACCACGGGGACAGUAUCUCCUCUCAGCCUUGAGAAGCUUGACAAUAGGUAGACAGUGAGUAGGGGGCACUGAGGUUAAAACCCAGACUUCUGGCGUGGGUCUACAAAGAACUGUGCACUGAGCCAUUGGGAAUUCAGGGACCUCAGGACCUGGAGAACAAAGGACACAGCCUUGUACAGCUCCAGGAGCCAGCCAAGGGUAGACCUGGGAGCUUCCCAUGCUGGCAGAGUCUGCUCCCCCGUCCUUGCGGUAGGAACACCUCCAAUUUAUUACUGAGGUGGCUGUGAUCAACCUUACUUCCCUGCUGUGCUGGCUCUGCAACCUCACUCAUGGCCACUUAGCACCAUAGGAUCCAAGUAGAGUUUUAGUUGUGUGCUCAUUGUUAAGGAUAAACGACCCUUAGGCCUGGGGUGACCCUCAAGCUCCUUGUCAAUUUUUCUACCCUCAACAGCAGAUCAGGUACAGCUACAGAUGCAGGGUCAAGGCUACUGUUGCAUGGAAUGUUUAAGGCUCAGGAGUAGCCUCCCACUGACAGCCACAUGUCAACCUGAUGACAAUAUCUGAUCUUCAAUGAGUGCCCCAGAUUUAUUGGGAGAGGCAUCCUUGGUCAUUUACUCACCUAUCUUACCUGAUAUCCUAGGGUUCCCUAAGACAGGAAGAAUAGCUAGGCCAAGACCACACAGAGGCCUAUCCCAUAGAUAGAGGGAACUCCCAGUCAAG